CCUACGGGAGGCAGCAGUGGGGAAUAUUGCGCAAUGGGCGAAAGCCUGACGCAGCGACGCCGCGUGAGGGAUGAAGGUCUUCGGAUCGUAAACCUCUGUCAGGAGGGAAGAAGUGGUUAUAUGCGAAUAGUGUAUGACUUUGACGGUACCUCCAAAGGAAGCACCGGCUAACUCCGUGCCAGCAGCCGCGGUAAUACGGAGGGUGCGAGCGUUAAUCGGAAUCACUGGGCGUAAAGCGCGCGUAGGCGGCUUUUCAAGUCAGGGGUGAAAUCCCACGGCCCAACCGUGGAACUGCCUUUGAAACUGUAGAGCUUGAGUGUCGGAGAGGGUGGCGGAAUUCCAGGUGUAGGAGUGAAAUCCGUAGAUAUCUGGAGGAACACCGGUGGCGAAGGCGGCCACCUGGACGACAACUGACGCUGAGGUGCGAAAGCG
rnacentral:rRNA from 1 species